rnacentral:rRNA from 1 species
AUUGAACGCUGGCGGCAGGCUUAACACAUGCAAGUCGAACGAGCGGCGGACGGGUGAGUAAUGUCUGGGAAACUGCCUGAUGGCGGGGGAUAACUACUGGAAACGGUAGCUAAUACCGCAUCCCAUCAGCUGUGCCCAGAUGGGAUUAGCCAGUAGGUGGGGUAAAGGCUCACCUAGGCGACGAUCCCUAGCUGGUCUGAGAGGAUGACCAGCCACACUGGAACUGAGACAGGGUCCAGACUCCUACGGGAGGCAGCAGUGGGGAAUAUUGCACAAUGGGCGGAAGCCUGAUGCAGCCAUGCCGAGUGUGUGAAGAAGGCCUUCGGGUGGGAAAGUACUUUCAGCGAGGAGGCGUUACCCGCAGAAGAAGCACCGGCUAACUCCGUGCCAGCAGCCGCGGUAAUUC